AGUGAACGCUGGCGGUAGGCCUAACACAUGCAAGUCGAACGGCAGCACAGUAAGAGCUUGCUCUUACGGGUGGCGAGUGGCGGACGGGUGAGGAAUACAUCGGAAUCUACUUUUUCGUGGGGGAUAACGUAGGGAAACUUACGCUAAUACCGCAUACGACCUACGGGUGAAAGCAGGGGAUCUUCGGACCUUGCGCGAUUGAAUGAGCCGAUGUCGGAUUAGCUAGUUGGCGGGGUAAAGGCCCACCAAGGCGACGAUCCGUAGCUGGUCUGAGAGGAUGAUCAGCCACACUGGAACUGAGACACGGUCCAGACUCCUACGGGAGGCAGCAGUGGGGAAUAUUGGACAAUGGGCGAAAGCCUGAUCCAGCCAUACCGCGUGGGUGAAGAAGGCCUUCGGGUUGUAAAGCCCUUUUGUUGGGAAAGAAAAGCAGCAGGUUAAUACCCCGCUGUUCUGACGGUACCCAAAGAAUAAACACCGGCUAACUUCGG
rnacentral:rRNA from 1 species